CUAGAAGAGCCCUCCUCAACCGCACAUCUGCAUCCUGAGUUAGUUUGUAGGGAUAAGGCAGAAGAGAACCCAAACGGAACCAAAUGUAAGGAAACAGGGAGGGACCUACCGGAAUUUGUCCAUGUAACAUUUGUCAUAAUGAGCGGCCCAAGGUGCAGCGUGCAUAGAGUUCCGCAUAUUUUAAUUCAUCGACCGACCCGUGACGCUACUGGCAUGCACACAUGCAGCUACUGGCAUGCAGCUACUGGCAUGCAGCUACUGGCAUGCAACUACUGGCAUGCAACUACUGGCAUGCAACUACUGGCAUGCAACUACUGGCAUGCAACUACUGGCAUGCAACUACUGGCAUGCAACUACUGGCAUGCAACUACUGGCAUGCAACUACUGGCAUGCAACUACUGGCAUGCAACUACUGGCAUGCAACUACUGGCAUGCAACUACUGGCAUGCAACUAUCUGUAGACCAGAUCCCACAAAGCACAAUGAGGAAAUGGCUGCCUAAAUAUGAUCCCCAAUCAGAGACAACGAUAAACAACUGUCUCUGAUUGGGAGCCACACCAGGCCAACAUAAACCAUUAAUCACCUAGAUGACCCACCCUAGUCACUAUCACGCUCCAACCAACAGAGAAUAAACAGCUCUCUAUAGUCAGGGUGUGACAGUCCAAUAGAAACACCUCUUUUUUUUUUCGAAAUGUUUUCUGGUUUGGAGCAAACGGUUACCAUUGCAAAACGUUUUGCAACAUUUUGCUAUGGUCUUCGUCUAAUGAAUACACCCCUGGUCAAUAGGUCUAAUGUCUAGCCACUGAACGUAAGGAGUCAGGACACAAUCAAAGGACUCUAUGCACUACAACAACUCUAACAUUCCAGUCACUGGCCCGAGAGAAGCAUUACACAAUUUCACACAGGAUCUGUUGUGUUGUCAACUAGUUUAACAAAAAAAAAUCCUUCCAUUUACCGUAUAUGUGUAAAUAAAAGCUUUAGGUAUUACAUUCUAUAGCUACAGCACAGCUCAACACUGU
ensembl:lncRNA